rnacentral:lncRNA from 1 species
AUUGUUUAGAACUGUCUAAUCUUUUAUUAAUGAGAGAGUUUACAAUAUAUAGCCUUUAGAUCCUAGGGCUUUCAUAAGGAUUAAGUAGACCAAGCAUGUGUAGUCAAGGAGAAGAGGAGCGCCUAAUUCAAACUAAGCCAAUAAGAAGCUUCACAUGUGUGACCGGAUGGAUAAGGUUUGCUUUCCCUUUACAGCUUUGAUCCAGCCUGUCAAGCCGCGUCCCUUAUCCUAUCUUCAGCGGUCUGCUCAGUUACUCCCAAAGGUUAACUCCUUCUAAGUUACCUUUCACCUCAAGGUAGAGUAACUUCUCAUUUGGCCGCGCCCUACUUGUACGGACAGUACGGCCAGUGUACGGACAGUACGGCCUGUACGGUCUUGCCUCGGCCUAACUCCUCUUCAUGCCUUCUUCUCCUCAUUCCUUCUUCCCAAGGUUCACAAGCCUUCAUAGAUUAACUCCUCAUCUCAACACUCCCCCUCAAGCUUAGCUUUGUG